rnacentral:lncRNA from 1 species
UUGGAUGUUUGACAGUGUCUUAUGACAAAAGGAGUUCUAUGUUUUUCCUAUAUGGUGUUAUUAGUUGUGUUGCACGAUGACAAACAAUCUGAGCAUUAGGAGUGUUGUUUAUUUAUUAUUUAGUUUUUAUGUUCAAGACGGGCAUGGAAGAGACAUUAAUUGCAUUAGUUACCAAAUGAUUAUGAUAGAAUAUGUUCCACAUCUUUGAUUUUGGAUACAUUUUGUAGCUAGGAGAGCAACACAUAAUACAUUUUUCUAGGUUCAUAUUUUCAUGUGUUUUUUUUUCUAAAUGGGAGAUGAUAUCUAGAUUUGAGAACAUGAUAUAAGGAGCCUGUAAUUCAGUGGUUGUCGUUUGUUUAUGUGUUACAUAUUCGUUUUCAUUUAUUUUUUGUACAUAAAUAAGGCUGUUAGUCUUCCCGUUUAAAUUGUUUUACAUUGUCAUUUCAGGGCCUUUUAUAGAUGAUUAUGCGGAAUUGGCUUUGCUCAUUGUUGAUGGCCUUACGGUGACCUGUAGUUGUUAAUUUCUGUGUCAUUUUGGUCUCUUGUGGAGAAUUUAUCUCAUUGGCAAUCAUACCACAUCUUUUUUAUAUGUAUUUGCUUACUAUUUGUAUGGUUCUAUUUAUAUUACUUUGUGGAGGAUCGUCAGUAUCAUUAGUAAAAAAAAAU